AAUUUAAAAUGUGUUUUUCUUACAGGCCUGAAACGUUAGAUUUUGAUCAUCCUGACAUGAUCAUUUUACCUCCUCCUGACAUGUAUGCUGACCUGACAGUGGAAUAAUUCUCAUAAACAAGCAGGACAAAGAGCAGCCAGGCAGAAGAAAAACAAGACAAAAAUGUGUCCAUACUGUUAUUGUGCACACUGUGACCCGUGUCAGUCACCCAAUACUGUGACGGUGUCUUCAUCUUCCUGACUGUGACCUCGUUUACCUGGUGACGGCAUUUAUGGAUCAGUAUGAUGAUGAAGAGGAUCGAGAUAAGGAGAUUUCUCAACAAGCGAUACACCGUCUCCUCAAACUUUUUUUUAAGCUCUCCGUGUGAAAGCAGAGGGACCUGGUGGCUCUGUAUGAUUUUGAAAAAGUGGACCAAUAUGAGCUGCUGAUCCCAGGAAAAAGAAGUACAACAUUUUUCAAACACCUCAUGCGUUUGAAAAUGUUCACACGUCAUGUGCAAAUAACCAAAAACAAAUGGUGGUGUAAAUAAGGGGAAGACGAUGGAACAUGUAGAUUAUUCUCAGACCAGUUUAAGGAAACAGUGUGACAGCAGACACAGGCAGUGAGAACAGGCAGAUUAGUUUACUUCUCAUUUUCAUUCACAUUCCGAGAAAUCACUAGUCAGGUUGUUCCUCAGGAUAAUCUAGUUAGUUAGUGUCCAAUACACUUGUUACCGGUUUACAGUGUUGGUAGCAAAGGAGUAAAUGGAAGUAUAGCUUGUAGACAUACAAAUGAAUAAAUUACAUAUAUAAACUUACGUAUUACAUACAUAGUUCUUUUUUUACUUAAUACUGGGCUAGUCAGUUCUUCCAUGUGUUUUUGUAUUAUUGUUGUUUUUUUUGUACAUGAGUAUCUUUUCUACUUCUAUGUACCCCUGUUAGUGUUGUUAAAUAUCAUUAUGGAUUAUAGAAGUGCAUAUGUAACUCAUGUCAUAGUAUUUAAAUGCUGAGCUUUAAAGAUAUUGUGUAUAAUUAUCUUUAAUGGCACCGAUAACCAUGGAGGGAAAUCUAAAACAAACAAAGACCAGUUGCUAUGUAUUGUUCACAGUUGCACAUUCUGGAGGGAAGCACAAUCCAUAAACUUUAUUUUCUUUCUUUAAUUUUUACGGAGCGGAUGUGUAGCAGGUGUGACUUUUAUCUUACCGCCUUUCUUCUACGACUUUCCCUGAAGCUGAUGAAUACCAAGUGUUAUAGAAAGACAAAGUGGUGUGAUGAUCACCUGAGGUCAUUUUUGUUGUUUGUCAACAUCUAAGGGUGAAAAACACCUAUAUAAUCCUCUGUGAUGACGGGUGUGAAAUUGACAAAGCAUUUAGGACAAACACAUUUUCCUUUGAUAUGUUGGUUUAUUGUUUUUCAAUAAAUACUCUUCAAGUUCAAAUUAUAACAGCAAUUUCAUGCAGUGCGUAACAAGAGAAAUCCAAACCCCAAUCAGACAGGAAGAGAAACUGUGACAAACACAGCCUUAUACACUUUCUUUCCCAAUAACCAGUACACACACACACACACACACACACACACACACACACACACACACACACACACACACACACACACACACACACAUGCAGUCAUCUCUCACCCUCUCUAACAAUCUGAGGAAUGGACGCUGAGAAGGAAGUGUUGCAACAGAUUCUGUGAUCGAACUGUUCAUUCUCUAUAGCUUUUGUACAAUACUGAUUAAAAAAAGAAGAAAUUAAAAAAUUGAAUUUUUAUUUUAUAAGUCAAUCAAGCCGCUGGGGUCAGCUCUAUAGGAGUUAUAGAGUCAACAUGGCUUUAAGGCAUCGGAUCGUUGGUUUGCCAAACUCAUUUUGUAAAUAAUGAUAACAACAACCAUUUUGUCCAAUGGACUUCUGUGCCAUAAAAUAGGAAGGCUUCAGUUAUGCAAACUCUCAACGUUAACCCAAGCAAUACCAACAUAUGUUUUAUUUUCCUGUUUUCCCACUAUGUUUUGUAAUCCUCUAAUGUUGUUUUGAUUUUGUGCAUGGAUGUUGUUGGUCUUUGUCUUAACCUCACUUACUAAUCCUGUUUCCAGCUGCAAACCCUGCUCGUAUCUGUCUUUUCGAGUCCCACCACCUCACACUGAUAGCCGAUCAGCUUCUGCAGUUUAUGUCACCAAUGGCCUAUGUAUGUGUUUCUGUACCUCACACUCUCUAUGUUGCAGAGGACAUAGUGUCACUCACUGUAACGUAGUCUGCUCCUCCAUCCCAUUCCCCCUCUAUAGUCUUUGAGAUACGGUGAUGCUCCGCCCAUCUGUCUGUCUGCUGGUCAGGUGCCAAACUGCUGCUGUCCCAGCGUCUGUGUGUGGAUGGCAGCUUCCUCUGCUACAACUACAUCAACUUUGAUGCCAAUGACUCCCUAUUUUAUGGCCAGAGUCCCCAUGUCACUGAGAACUCUUUUGGACUAUGAUGUUGAUUAACUUUCAAAUUUGACAACUAGAAGAUGAGCAGAGGAGUUGAAUAAAAAGGGAAACGUUGCUGUUUGAGUACAUAACAUUUCUAGACCUAUUUUAACUUUACCUCAGCUAACAGUUUCUUAAUGUAAAUUGACACAUUAUUUUUAUCUUUAUGAAUAUGACAUUCUACAGUGGGUUUUUAGAUGAUUUUUUGGUUCUCUCUUGAUUUAUGUAUUCCACCAUGUAUUACUGUUACAAAUAAACACAUCCCAAAUGAC